AAAUAAGUAUAUUUUAUUAUAGAAGGAUUUGUAUAUAAUUUAUGAGGUUAUUGCCAAACCAUUUGUUUGUUUGUUUAGACUUUUUUCUGGGUCCCUCAGGAGUGGCAUUUGGCAUAUGUGCAAAAAUAUCUGUAUAUCCUAGAUGGUGCCCUAGGACUGGAAUUGCUAGGUCAAAAGGUGUGAAGUCUGUUCUUUUGGUAAUUAUUGCCAAAUUUCCUCUGUAGAGGGUGAACCAAUUUACAAACCUAUCUGUAACUUAUGAGUAUACCCAUGUUUUUUCAUCUUGGUCAAUAUAAUAUGAAAAGAUAAAUAUCUGAGGAGAGUUUUAACUUGGAUCUUUUAUGAGGAAUGAGGUUGAAUAUUUUUUAAUGUUUCUGAGAACUGUCUGUUCAUACCCUUUGUCCAUUUUUAUAUAGGUUAUUUUUUUCUUAUGAAUUUGAAGUUCUUUGAAGUUAGCCUUUUAUGUUAUGAGUAGCAACUGUGAUUUUUUUUUGGCCAUAUGGAGAUUUUUGAUCUUGAAGCAGUGGAAUUAAUAUCUUUUUAUUUAAAAAUGCAUUUGACUUUUGUAUCACAGUUAGGGAGGCCUUCCCAGAGUUUAUUUCAGUAUGUUUAAGGUUUCUUUUUCUUUCUCUCUGACCCUCCAUUUAUUCCUUUUACAUUUCAUCCAUUUGCAAUUUGUAUAUGAAGUGUGAAUCUCAUUUUUUUCCUCAGAUGCCUACUCAGUGCACUAUUUGUUGAAUAAUCUAUCAUUUUCCUGUUGUGUUGAAAUGUCACGUUUUCCUUAAGUUAAAAUUCUCCACAUAGCUCUAUUUAUUUUGGGACUUUCUAUUUUCUUCCUUGGGUCUGUCUGUUAAUAUCUUAAUAUCACACUGUUUUAAUGAUUGAGACUUUUUUUUUUUUUUUGAGACAAAGUCAUGAAAGUGGCUCAUGCCUGUGAUUCCAGCACUUUGGGAGGCUGAGGAGGGUGGACUGCUUGAGCCCAGGAGUUCAAGACCAGCCAACAUGGCGAAACCCCAUCUCUACUAAAAAUACAAAAACUAGCUGGGCAUGGUGGCACGUGUCUGUAGUCCCAGCUACUAGAGAGGCUGAAGUGGGAGGAUUGCUUGAGCCUCGGAGGCAGAGGUUGCAGUGAGCUGAUAUCACAUCACUGCACUCCAGCCUGGGUGACAAAGUUGAGACCUGUCUCAACAACAACAACAAAAACCCUUGGGGAAAAUUUGAAAAAUCACAUUAAAGUUAUAGACAAGCAAGAAAGAACACACCCUUAUAAAGUCGAACAUUCUUUUUUUUUUUUUUUUUUUUGAGACAGAGUCUCGCUGGAGUGCAGUGGUGGGAUCUUGGCUCACUGCAACCUUCGCCUCCCGGGUUCAAGUGAUUCUCCUGCCUCAGCCUCCCUAGUAGCUGGGAUUACAGACACGCGCCACCAUGCCUGGCUACAUUUUGUAUUUUUAGUAGAGACGGGGUUUCACCAUGUUGGCCAGGCUGGUCUCGAACUCCUGACCUCAGGUGAUCCGCCUGCCUUGGCCUCCCAAAGUGCUGAGAUUACAGGUGUGAGCCACCAUGCCUGGCCUUGAAAGUGUUUUUAUUUACUCUUCCUCUUGAAUGAUAGCUUAGCUGGAAAUACUUUUCUCUCCUCAAUCUAUAGAUAUUAUUUGAUUGUCUUCUGGCCUUUAUUUUUGCAUGCAUGAAGUCUCCUGUUAGUCUACUUUUUGUUCCUUUGUAAGUUAUUUUUUCUGUCUGGUUUCCUCCCGUCUUUCCUUCCUUCCUUCCUUCCUUCCUACCUUCCUUCCUUCCUUCCUUCCUACCUUCCUUCCUCCCUCCCUCCCUCCCUCUCUUUCUCUCUUUCUUUCUUUCGAGACAGAAUGUUGCUUGGUGGCCCAGGCUGGAGUGCAGUGGUGCAAUCUCGGCUCACUGCAACCUCUGCCUUCUGGGUUCAAGAGAUUCUCUUGCCUCAGCCUCCCAAGUAGCUGGGAUUACAGGCAUGUGCCAUCAUGCCCGACUAAUUUUUGUAUUUAGUACAGAUGGGGUUUCAUCAUGUUGGCCAGGCUGGUCUUGAACUCCUGACCUCAGGCGAUCCACCUGACUUGGCCUCCCAAAGUGCUGGGAUUACAGAUGUGAGCCACUGUGCUUGGCCUCUGGUUGCUUUUGAAGUGUUUCCUUUGUCUUCAUUUUCAACUGCAAUGUUUCAAGUUGUAUUUUCUCUUUUUUUUUUUUUUUUAAUUUUGUUAGUAUUUAUUGAUCAUUCUUGGGUGUUUCUCCGAGAGGGAGAUUUGGCAGGGUCAUAGGACAAUAGCGGAGAGAAGGUCAGCAGAUAAACAUAUGAACAAAGGUCUCUGGUUUUCCUAGGCAGAGGACCCUGCGGCCUUCCGCAGUGUUUGUGUCCCUGGGUACGUGAGAUUAGGGAGUGGUAAUGACUCUUUAACGAGCAUGCUGCCUUCAAGCAUCUGUUUAACAAAGCACAUCUUGCACCGCCCUUAAUCCAUUUAACCCUGAGUUGACACAGCAUAUGUUUCAGAGAGCACGGGGUUGGGGGUAAGGUUAUAGAUUAACAGCAUCCCAAGGCAG
rnacentral:lncRNA from 1 species